AAGAAGUACUUCACUUUACUACAAUUAGAUUUCAAACGGAUUCGGACUACAUACUGAUGUGGCCCACAUCUGAUAAUUGAUUGGGGUGACAGCGAAGGUGCUAGUGAUGAGGAUGUACUAGGCCUAGGGGCAGUUGACAGUGAAGAUGAGGACUACGUCCCUCAUAUUUCUAUUCGGAUGGGUGGAGCAUUGCAGGCGCCACCAUGCCAAGACACUAUGCCAGUCAUAGAUGCCAGUGAGACCGUUCAAGACAUCCCUGAUGUAGAACCUCCAUCAGCCGACCUACCUCCAAUCCAUAAUCCUGACUUUCCUGACAGAUUGGACGUCAUGAAUGAAGAUGACCUCAUCGGGAA